GACGAACGCUGGCGGCGUGCCUAAUACAUGCAAGUAGAACGCUGAAGGAGGAGCUUACUUCUCUGGAUGAGUUGCGAACGGGUGAGUAACGCGUAGGUAACCUGCCUGGUAGCGGGGGAUAACUAUUGGAAACGAUAGCUAAUACCGCAUAAGAGUAGAUGUUGCAUGACAUUUACUUAAAAGGUGCAAUUGCACCACUACCAGAUGGACCUGCGUUGUAUUAGCUAGUUGGUGGGGUAACGGCUUACCAAGGCGACGAUACAUAUCCGACCUGAGAGGGUGAUCGGACACACUGGGACUGAGACACGGACCAGACGCCUACGGGAGGCAGCAGUAGGGAAUCUUCGGCAAUGGACGGAAGUCUGACCGAGCAACGCCGCGUGAGUGAAGAAGGUUUUCGGAUCGUAAAGCUCUGUUGUAAGAGAAGAACGAGUGUGAGAGUGGAAAGUUCACACUGUGACGGUAUCUUACCAGAAAGGGACGGCUAACUACGUGCCAGCCGCCGCGGUAA
rnacentral:rRNA from 1 species